UACGAAGGGGGCUAGCGUUGCUCGGAAUUACUGGGCGUAAAGCGCGCGUAGGCGGACAUCUAAGUCAGAGGUGAAAUGCCGGGGCUUAACCUCGGAACUGCCUUUGAUACUGGAAGUCUGGAGUUCGGGAGAGGUGAGUGGAAUUCCGAGUGUAGAGGUGAAAUUCGUAGAUAUUCGGAGGAACACCAGAAGCGAAGGCGGCUCACUGGGCCGUUGCUGACGCUGAGGCGCGACAGCGUGGGGAGCAAACAGG
rnacentral:rRNA from 1 species